UUCGGAGGGGGCUAGCGUUGUUCGGAAUUACUGGGCGUAAAGCGCACGUAGGCGGCUUUGUACGUUAGAGGUGAAAGCCCAGGGCUCAACCCUGGAAUUGCCUUUAAGACUGCAUCGCUAGAAUUGUGGAGAGGUAAGUGGAAUUCCGAGUGUAGAGGUGAAAUUCGUAGAUAUUCGGAAGAACACCAGUGGCGAAGGCGACUUACUGGACACAUAUUGACGCUGAGGUGCGAAAGCGUGGGGAGCAAACAGG
rnacentral:rRNA from 1 species